CGCGUAGGUGGUAGUGUAAGUCUGGGGGUGGAAUCCCAGGGCUUAACCCUGGAACUGCCUUGGAAACUGCAUUACUUGAGUCAGUGAGGGGAGGGUAGAAUUCCUGGUGUAGCGGUGAAAUGCGUAGAUAUCAGGAGGAAGGCCUGUGGCGAAGGCGGCCCUCUGGCGCUGAACUGACACUGAGGCGCGAAAGCGUGGGGAGCAAACAGGAUUAGAUACCCUGGUAGUCCACGCCCUAAACGGUGGGCACUAGGUGUAGGGCUCGUAAGGGUUCUGUGCCGAAGGGAAACCAUUAAGUGCCCCGCCUGGGGAGUACGGCCGCAAGGUUGAA
rnacentral:rRNA from 1 species